CAGUCGCCGCGGUAAAACGUAGGUGGCAAGCGUUGUCCGGAUUUAUUGGGCGUAAAGCGAGCGCAGGCGGUCAAUUAAGUCUGAUGUGAAAGCCCCCGGCUCAACCGGGGAGGGUCAUUGGAAACUGGUUGACUUGAGUGCAGAAGAGGAGAGUGGAAUUCCAUGAGUAGCGGUGAAAUGCGUAGAUAUAUGGAGGAACACCAGUGGCGAAGGCGACUCUCUGGUCUGUAACUGACGCUGAGGCUCGAAAGCGUGGGUAGCAAACAGGAUUAGAUACCCGCGUAGUCCCUGUCUCUUAUAC
rnacentral:rRNA from 1 species